rfam:Punica granatum cultivar Dabenzi scaffold7, whole genome shotgun sequence.
AAAGAUAUGGCUGAGUAGACGAAAGCAUUGGAUUGCUAAUCCGUUGUAUGAGCUUUUUCGAACCAAGGGUUCAAAUCCCUCUCUUUC